GGAAGUCAAAGAAACAACAAACAGUGUCAAGAUCAUCAGCAGAGGCUGAAUAUCGUGCAUUAGCAUACACGACAUGUGAAGUAACAUGGUUAAAAAUGCUACUACAAGAAAUAGGAGUAUACCUGAUCGGAGAAUCACCGGCUCCAAGGAUACUCACUGACAGCACCGCGGCAGAAGCAAUAGCCAAAAACCCUAUCUCUCACCAGAGAACCAAACACAUAGAAAUCGAUCUCCACACAGUGCGCGACAAGGUUUUAGCGGGAGAGGUUAUAUUGAAGCACAUUCCCAGUGCACAAAACGUUGGGGAUUUUUUCACAAAACCCCUGGGAGGACCAACUUUUCGGAAUUUACUCCAAAAAUUGCAACUGCUAGAUGUACACAACCCAGGCUCAAGAAUCCAGGCGAACCGCCUUUGAUUCAACCCAAAGGUUGCAACACUACAGCUCAUUUUAUCAAAUUAAAAACCUAACCGUUUUUUAAUUUGAGGGAGGAUAUUAGAAAUGUAACCCCAUAAAGAAUUAAAAUUAUAAAUACACCCUUAAUGUAAAUACUAUUUUUAAACCCCUAAGUUAUACACAUAUUAUACUGUAUAUAUAUAUAUAUAUCAAAACCCCAAAGUUAUAGAUGUAUUGCAGAUACAUCCUUACUGCAUAUAUACAUUCCCAUGACUUCUCACAUUCCUUUUCUAGAAAUUCCCAUAUAUCAUUAAUUCCAUAUCCAUCAUUGAUUCUAUUCCCUUAUUAUAAUUAAUACCAAACACCAACAUAGCCGUUGGGUGUUUAGUAUUUAAACCUACCUAAGCUUUCAUCAUAAUUUAACGCUUUCACCAUCUACAAUUCAUCAAACACAUACACAUACACAUACACUCUGUUCUUCAACAACGCUUAGCUGCUGCUCAAAUACUUCCGCUCAAUUACAUCAUCAAACCUGCUAAUCAUCCGUUGGAUAAUCGAGCUUCAUUCCAAUCAAUCGAUCAUCCAACAGUAUCAACAAUUUACAUAUUCAUAUAUACUUUAAGCAUCAUAUAUUUCCAUUCAUCAUUUGAAUUGCUUAAGUAUUACAUAUUUAUAUGAUUGUUUGAUCAUAUCAUCCAUAUCAAAACUCUAUCAUAGUAUCAAAGAAGGCUUCAUCCUGAAACCUACAAAAUAUCUUUUCUACUAUUGUUUUUUUUCUCUACAAAAAGAAACUAUAAAGAGAAAAGAAACAGUCACCACACCAAAAAGAGCAAGCUGUUUCAAACCAAAAGAGGAAGGACAGUCAAUCAAGUCUUUCAAUCGUCAAAAACAACUCUGUUCCUCCAGAUAUUAUCAAAGAAUUCUUGAGGAGGACGAGGAGGCAGUGGAAUCUCCACAGCCAAAACACCAUUAAUCUUCUCCCCCUCAGAGUUCAGACCCACAUCUGGAUCACUCCAUAUUUCAUAAUCGGGCAUAGAGUCAUCACUAUCAAAAUCAUAAACAUAUUGUUGACACACCACACCAUCCUCACCAUCACUGUCUGAGGGAAAAUCAAGAUCCAACACAAGAACAGACCUUUCAUAUUCAGAAUCAGAGGAAGAGUACACAUCUUCCACAUCACCAAAAUACUCAAGAGCUUCCACAUCCAUAUUGUGUCUUCUCAGCUCUCUCAUUCUCCUAAGAUUCCUGGUGUGCCUUCUCAUCAACCUUCUUGCUCUCCUUUCAUUUCUAUCUGCAAAUGGAAACAAAGAAUGAUGAGCUAAAAAUAAAGGAUGGAAGCCCAUACUACAUAUCAGGCAGUGACAACCCAAGCUUAGGCCUGGUGACAACUCCACUUAGUGGACCAAACUAUCAGACAUGGGUGGUAGAGAUCCAAAGAUCAUUAUCUACCAAAAACAAGCUAGGAUUCAUAAAUGGAUCCAUCACCAAACCAAUCAAUAACACAGACAGCUACUACACCCCUUGGACCAGAUGUAAUGACCUGGUCACUGCAUGGAUACUCAACAGCUGUUCAAAGGAGAUCAGAGGAAGUGUAAUCUUCAUAAAAGAUGCCACCACCCUCUGGGAAAACCUCAAACAGAAAUACAGCAGGGCUAAUUCACUGGUCAUUUCACAACUGAAGAGGCAGAUUGCACUAUGCACUCAAGGAAGUGAAUCUGUCAGCAACUACUAUGCAAAGUUGCAAGGCCUAUGGAAUGAAUUGGACAACAAUCAGAUCUUUGAAUGCUGUAACAACCCUAACUGCAUUCAAAGAGAGAAUAUGGACAGGUUGAUCACAUUCACAACCGGCCUAAAUGAUACCUUCCUGUCAAUAAGAGGCCAAAUACUCAAAAAGAAGACCCCUCCAUCUGUGGAUGAUGCCUUCAGAAUGGUACUCCAAGAAGAGACACAAAGGGAAUGUGUCUAUCCUGAAGAAGGAACUGCCCUGGCCACACAAUCUAAGAGUAACUUCACACCAAAACCACAAAAUCAAAGUGAAGACUCUAAACCAUACUGCACAAGAUGCAAGAAACACAACCACAGCAUAGAAAACUGCUUCUAUGAAAAUGGUUUUCCACCAGGCCAUGGACUCCAUGGGGUGGACUUCAACAAAAGAAAGGAAAACUCCACAAGGUACAAUAGCAAAAAAGACUACAAAUCCAACAAAGGAUACAAAAAGUACCAAAGCAACAAUGCCAACACAGAAGAUGAAGCCCAAACCUCUGAGAAUCCACAGACUACAGGAAACUUCAUCACUAGAGAAGAGCUGAUCUCCAUACUCUCCCAGGGAGGAAUCCAAAAGGGAAAUCAACCACAAGCUCACAUGUCUGGUAGCACUUCUGGUACGUUUUACUAUAAAAACAACACAUGCUUCAACCCACAUUACUCACUAAAUACUACAGCAUGCACCCAAUCACAGAAUAAUCAGUGGAUCAUUGACACAGGGGCAACAGACCACAUGUGUGCCCCCAACACCAGCUUAAACAAUGAAAAAAAUCUACUAUACCCUAUAAACAUUCAUCUCCCAAACUCACAAACCACUAAAGUCUCAGUUAGUGGCUCCACUCAAAUCACAAAAGACAUUACCUUAAACAAUGUCUUAAAGAUCCCAUCAUUCUCAGUCAACCUACUCUCUGUAAGCCAACUAACAAAGGAUAUCAAAUGCUCAUUCACCUUCCACCCUACUUUCUGUUCCAUACAGGACCAACAGGGAAACCGGAUUGGUGGGGGUGAGAAGAAGAAUGGACUCUACAUCCUAAAGCAUGACAAUCAGGCCAAUCACAGCCAACAGAAGGAAACAAAGGAUGAAGAGAUAUGGCACCAGAGACUAGGACAUCCAGCACCUUCUAGAUUUUAUCAUUUCAAUAUCUUAAACAAUUGUAUUCCAAAGAAUUUUAAAAUUUUUUGUAAUACAUGCCCACUGUCCAAACAGACAAGGCUUCCUUUUUCUCUAAGUUCAAAUAAAACAACAAGGUGCUUUCAAUUAUUACACUUAGACAUAUGGGGAAAAUUUCACACUCUUACACAUCAAGGAAAUAACUAUUUCCUAACCAUAGUGGAUGAUUAUUCUAGAGCAACUUGGGUCUUCCUAAUGACAAACAAGUCAGAAACAUCCAUCAAAUUCAAACAAUUUCUAACAAACAUUAAAAACCAACACCAAACCACUGUCCAUACCAUAAGGUCAGACAAUGGUACAGAAUUCUUAUCCAAAGAAUUCCAAAACAUAAUUAAAACAGAUGGUAUAGCACACCAACUGUCAUGUCCAUAUGCCCCACAACAAAAUGGAAGAGUUGAAAGGAAACAUCAACACAUACUACAAGUGGCUAGGUCACUAAUGAUUCAAUCCAACAUUCCCCUAAAGUAUUGGGGGGAAUGCAUCAAAACAGCUGUCUUCCUAAUAAACAGGACCCCAGCUGUAGUAUUAGAUAAUGAAACUCCAUUUUUUAGACUAUUUGGAGAACAACCAAAUUUAGACAUCCUAAAAGUAUUUGGGUGUCUAUGUUAUGCCACAAAUAACAAAACAAAAUCAAAAUUUGAAAACAGGUCAAUAAAGGGAAUAUUUAUUGGAUAUUCUCCCCAAAGGAAAGGAUACAACAUACUAGAUACAUCCACUCAGGAAAUCUUCACAAACAGAGAUGUAACAUUCUUUGAAGACAUCUUUCCAUUCAAAGAACAAACAGAACAGUAUCAAGAAAACAUUUUUGAUACAUCAGAGACAGAUAAUAGAUCAGAUGAGAACACAUACACACUCACACCUCCUUCACAAGAAGAGGACACACCAAUAAUCCCAUAAAUACAAUAUGAAACAGGGAAUGCACCAAGCAUCCUAGAAGAGGAUGCACCAAGACCAAAAAGAAAUAGGAAAACACCAUCAUACUUAAAAGAUUUCUCUCUACAAGCAGCAUCCACUAGACACCCAAUUGAGAACAUGCUCUCUUCUCAAUACUUUACCCCCGAACACUCUGCAUUUUUAACAAAAAUAAAGAACAAUUUGGAUCCAACUUCCUACAAGGAAGCAUCCAAACACAUGAAAUGGAACAAUGCUAUGAAGCAAGAACUACAGGCUCUUGAACAUAACCAAACAUGGACCAUCACAAGCAUGCCAAAUGACAAAAAACCCAUUGGAUGCAAAUGGGUCUAUAAAACAAAAUUUAACAGUGAUGGAAGCAUUGAAAAAUAUAAGGCUAGAUUAGUAGCCAAAGGUUACAACCAAAUUGAAGGCAUUGACUUUAAUGAAACCUUUGCUCUCGUAUCCAAAAUGACAACCUUAAGGACUGUCAUAGCUAUAGCAGUAGCACAAAAAUGGGACAUGCAUCAAAUGGAUGUCCAAAAUGCAUUCCUACAUUGAAACUUAGAAGAAAACAUAUACAUGAAAAUCCCAUUGGGGUUAGAAUUACCCAAAAAUGCACCACACAACCCCAUCUGCAAAUUAAACAAAUCACUAUAUGGCCUAAAACAAGCAUCAAGAGUUUGGUACCAAACUCUAUCAAAUGCCUUAUCCAACCUUGGAUACAAGCAAUGCAAAACAGACUACUCUCUGUUUAUAAACAAAAACAAAAAGGAAACUACAAUUGUCUUAGCAUAUGUUGAUGACCUACUUAUCACAGGCAACAACAUAAACACAAUUAAAACUCUAAAAGAAAAUCUCCAAGGAAUUUUUAAAAUUAAAGACCUUGGAGAACUUAAAUAUUUCCUAGGACUCGAAUUCACCAAAACACAAAAUGGUUUAUACAUUGGCCAGAGAAAAUACACAUUAGACCUUCUGGAAAAAUAUGAACUCACACAAUGUAAACCAAAUAAAACCCCAAACAGUCACAAACAAAUAUCCACACACAAAACAAACAAAAUUAUAGAAUGCCCUAAUAACAAUGAUUUCCUAAACAAAACCCCAAUGCAAUCAAACAAAAUAAAAAACAAUGAAACCUUACUAGAGGAUCCACAAAAAUAUAGAAGCAUAGUAGGUAAACUAGUAUACCUAACAUGCACAAGACCAGACAUUUCCUAUGCUGUAACAUACCUAAGCCAACAUAUGGCAACACCAACCGAAUCACAAAUGAAAGCAGCAUACAGAGUCUUAAAAUAUAUAAAAGGAUCACCUGGAUUAGGAUUGCAUUUCUUAUCAGGCUCCUCAAUAGACCACAUAGGAGCAUUCACAGAUUCGGACUGGGCAAGCUGUCCUACUACCAGACGAUCAACAUCUGGAUUUGCCAUAUUCCUAGGAUCGUCAUUAGUAUCAUGGAAGUCAAAGAAACAACAAACCGUGUCAAGAUCAUCAGCAGAGGCUGAAUAUCGUGCAUUAGCAUACACAACAUGCGAAGUAACAUGGUUAAAAAUGCUACUUCAAGAAAUAGGAGUAUACCUGAUCGGAGAAUCACCAACUCCUAGAAUCUUCACUGACAGCACCGCGGCAGAAGCGAUAGCUAAAAACCCUAUCUCCCACCAGAGAACCAAGCACAUAGAAAUCGAUCUCCACACGGUGCGCGAUAAGGUUUUAGCGGGAGAAGUUAUACUCAAGCACAUUCCCAGUGCACAAAACAUCGGAGAUUUUUUCACAAAACCCCUGGGAGGACCAACUUUUCGCACUUUACUCCAAAAAUUGCAACUGCUAAAUAUACACAACCCAGAUUCAAAAACCCAGACCAACCGUCUUUUGGGUUAACCCAAAGGGUGCAACGCUACGCCUAAUUUUUUUCAAAUCAAAAACCUAACCGGUUUUGAUUUGAGGGAGGAUAUUAGAAAUACAACCCCAUAAAGAUUUAAAAUCAUAAACACACCCUUAAUGUAAAUACUAUUUUUAAACC
rnacentral:lncRNA from 1 species